GUAGGGAAUCUUGCGCAAUGGGCGAAAGCCUGACGCAGCCAUGCCGCGUGAAUGAUGAAGGUCUUAGGAUUGUAAAAUUCUUUCACCGGGGACGAUAAUGACGGUACCCGGAGAAGAAGCUCCGGCUAACUUCGUGCCAGCAGCCGCGGUAAUACGAAGGGGGCUAGCGUUGCUCGGAAUUACUGGGCGUAAAGGGCGCGUAGGCGGAUAUUUAAGUCGGGGGUGAAAGCCCGGGGCUCAACCUCGGGAUAGGCUUCGAUACUGGAUAUGUUGAGUACGGGAGAGGGGUGUGGAACUCCGAGUGUAGAGGUGAAAUUCGUAGAUAUUCGGAAGAACACCAGUGGCGAAGGCGACACACUGGCCCGUUACUGACGCUGAGGCGCGAAAGCGUAGGGAGCAAACAGGAUUAGAUACCCGAGUAGU
rnacentral:rRNA from 1 species